rnacentral:rRNA from 1 species
AUUGAACGCUGGCGGCAGGCCUAACACAUGCAAGUCGAACGGUAACAGGAAGCAGCUUGCUGCUUCGCUGACGAGUGGCGGACGGGUGAGUAAUGUCUGGGAAACUGCCUGAUGGAGGGGGAUAACUACUGGAAACGGUAGCUAAUACCGCAUAACGUCGCAAGACCAAAGAGGGGGACCUUAGGGCCUCUUGCCAUCGGAUGUGCCCAGAUGGGAUUAGCUAGUAGGUGGGGUAACGGCUCACCUAGGCGACGAUCCCUAGCCGGUCUGAGAGGAUGACCAGCCACACUGGAACUGAGACACGGUCCAGACUCCUACGGGAGGCAGCAGUGGGGAAUAUUGCACAAUGGGCGCAAGCCUGAUGCAGCCAUGCCGCGUGUAUGAAGAAGGCCUUCGGGUUGUAAAGUACUUUCAGCGGGGAGGAAGGGAGUAAAGUUAAUACCUUUGCUCAUUGACGUUACCCGCAGAAGAAGCACCGGCUAACUCCGUG